GCAAACUAACUUUUCUAUAGAAUGUUCCAGUAGACUUCUGAGGUUCCCUGGGGUGCAGAGUGCCAGCCUGGCCUCAGUGAGGGCCUGUGCCCCUGCCCUUAAAGGGGAUCCCUGAAGUAGCCAAGGGGCCCCCUGGACCAGAGGUCAGAAUGGAGUGUGUCCAGCUGACCCCGUCCCCUCUCCACUCUGGGCCUCCAAAGAAGCUUUGAGCUUGGAGGAGAAAGAACUGGUUGGCACUGUCCCCUGUUUUCGGGUUUCAGUGGUCACUGUGUCACAGUGGCUGGGAGGCUGGCUUUCUGGGGAGGUGACGUCAUAGCAGGAGCCAGCCCGGCACAGGGGUCUUCGUUCCUGAAGAGGCCUCCAGGUGGGAGGGUCCGUCAGGCAGGGCGGGGGCUGGAGUCCUGAGGCUCCAGGGACAAAGCUCUCCCUGCACCCAAGAGCCAUGAGCACUGCUGAGGUGGCCAGCUGCAGUGGCCCCUUCAGUGUGGGACUGGGGUGGCAAGGGUUUGCUGCACAAGGUCUGGAAAGUUCUAGGGGAAUACGACACAGAGCAGAUUCUGGAGGACCAUCUCCUGAAUGAAGCCGCCACCACAGCUACUCUGGUCUACAGUGGCGUCUCCCAGAGGCUGCAUGCCGCCGGCAGACACAAGAAUCCAGUUGUCUCCAAUUAAAUGAUGAAAGAUUCAUGAAAAUGUAAAAUGACGUUUCUCCUGACUACAGUCACUUUGUUUGGGGGAAUAUGUAGCUCCUCGUCAUGAAAACACGGCAUGUCAGUGCAGUACGCUGGUCAUCGCCACUCACUCAGUUCUGUCAUGGUUACUUAAUGGUGCCCGGGAUGGGACCCAGGGCCUCCUGCGUGCUGGGCCACUGCUCUACCACCCAGCGGCCUCCCCGGCGCUUUUCAUGUUUUACUUUGGGACAGAGUCUCACUGCGUUGCCCAGGCUGGCCUCAAACUUGUGACCCUCCUGCCUCAGCCUCCCAGAUAGCCGGGAUUACAGGCGAGCGCCACCGUGCUUUACUGUUAUUACUGUUGAUGAGCAAAUAAGUAAAUAGGGGAAAUAGGAGCAAAUGUGUAAGUGUUAGAACAUUUUCCUCAUUUUUAAUCGCUAACAGUAAAUGUGAUAAAUACAGCUGAUAAACCAGG